GUGAGUGGCAUACUCUAACUUACUCUGAAGCCCUCCAUAGCUCUAUCCAUGGCUUUCAGGAAAGGCACAAUCCCUUAAGAGACUCAAGCAGCUAUCUGUCUCCUUUCGUUAAGAAUACUAUCACUGAAAAUGUGUCAACUCUAACAAAAUACCUUUUAGUCUGCAGGAUCUGGCUGGCUUUCCAUCAUUAUAGGCUCAAAUUUAAAAGGAUGCCUCUUCCUUUCCCAGACCUUUUUAUACUUUUGUCAGAGCACCCAAUAGUUUGCUUGUCAGAUUCCUAGGGGAAUGCUGAGGGAACUGAUCCUGUCCUCCCAUGAGACUCUCAUCUAAAUCUCUUCCCUCAGCUUUCCCUAUCCUAAGAGAUCCUAUUCUUUGCCAUGCUAUUUUGCUUUCUUUUUUUCCAUUUGCUGAAGACAUUCUCAAAGUGAGGCAUUUGGCCAAUAGGAACACGAUUCAAGUUAUAGGGCUGGGAAUGUGGCUUAGUGGUAGAGUGCUUGCC